GGUUGUCCCGGUUUAAGCGUGUAGGUGUGUGUUCCAGGUAAAUCCGGUUCACUUUAACACUGAGGCGUGACGACGAGGCACUACGGUGCUGAAGCAACAAAUGCCCUGCUUCCAGGAAAAGCCUCUAAGCAUCAGGUAACAUCAAAUCGUACCCCAAACCGACACAGGUGGUCAGGUAGAGAAUACCAAGGCGCUUGAGAGAACUCGGGUGAAGGAACUAGGCAAAAUGGUGCCGUAACUUCGGGAGAAGGCACGCUGACACGUAGGUGAAGUGAUUUACUCACGGAGCUGAAGUCAGUCGAAGAUACCAGCUGGCUGCAACUGUUUAUUAAAAACACAGCACUGUGCAAACACGAAAGUGGACGUAUACGGUGUGACGCCUGCCCGGUGCCGGAAGGUUAAUUGAUGGGGUCAGCGCAAGCGAAGCUCCUGAUCGAAGCCCCGGUAAACGGCGGCCGUAACUAUAACGGUCCUAAGGUAGCGAAAUUCCUUGUCGGGUAAGUUCCGACCUGCACGAAUGGCGUAAUGAUGGCCAGGCUGUCUCCACCCGAGACUCAGUGAAAUUGAACUCGCUGUGAAGAUGCAGUGUACCCGCGGCAAGACGGAAAGACCCCGUGAACCUUUACUAUAGCUUGACACUGAACAUUGAGCCUUGAUGUGUAGGAUAGGUGGGAGGCUUUGAAGCGUGGACGCCAGUCUGCGUGGAGCCGACCUUGAAAUACCACCCUUUAAUGUUUGAUGUUCUAACGUGGACCCGUGAUCCGGGUUGCGGACAGUGUCUGGUGGGUAGUUUGACUGGGGCGGUCUCCUCCUAAAGAGUAACGGAGGAGCACGAAGGUUGGCUAAUCCUGGUCGGACAUCAGGAGGUUAGUGCAAUGGCAUAAGCCAGCUUGACUGCGAGCGUGACGGCGCGAGCAGGUGCGAAAGCAGGUCAUAGUGAUCCGGUGGUUCUGAAUGGAAGGGCCAUCGCUCAACGGAUAAAAGGUACUCCGGGGAUAACAGGCUGAUACCGCCCAAGAGUUCAUAUCGACGGCGGUGUUUGGCACCUCGAUGUCGGCUCAUCACAUCCUGGGGCUGAAGUAGGUCCCAAGGGUAUGGCUGUUCGCCAUUUAAAGUGGUACGCGAGCUGGGUUUAGAACGUCGUGAGACAGUUCGGUCCCUAUCUGCCGUGGGCGCUGGAGAACUGAGGGGGGCUGCUCCUAGUACGAGAGGACCGGAGUGGACGCAUCACUGGUGUUCGGGUUGUCAUGCCAAUGGCACUGCCCGGUAGCUAAAUGCGGAAGAGAUAAGUGCUGAAAGCAUCUAAGCACGAAACUUGCCCCGAGAUGAGUUCUCCCUGAGACUUAGAGUCUCCUGAAGGAACGUUGAAGACGACGACGUUGAUAGGCCGGGUGUGUAAGCGCAGCGAUGCGUUGAGCUAACCGGUACUAAUGAACCGUGAGGCUUAACC
rnacentral:rRNA from 1 species